rnacentral:rRNA from 1 species
AGCAGCAGCCGCGGUAAUACAGAGGGUGCAAGCGUUAAUCGGAAUUACUGGGCGUAAAGCGCGCGUAGGUGGUUUGUUAAGUUGGAUGUGAAAUCCCCGGGCUCAACCUGGGAACUGCAUCCAAAACUGGCAAGCUAGAGUAUGGUAGAGGGUGGUGGAAUUUCCUGUGUAGCGGUGAAAUGCGUAGAUAUAGGAAGGAACACCAGUGGCGAAGGCGACCACCUGGACUGAUACUGACACUGAGGUGCGAAAGCGUGGGGAGCAAACAGGAUUAGAUACCCCAGUAGUCCCUGUCUCUUAUAC